CCUGCACAAAAGAGGGAGGACCCCACUCUGCAAAGACUUGGCCCAGAUGGUGACUAAGUCUGGGCCAAGGACAUCCCAGAACACGCGGUAGAACUCCACGGUCAGCCCGUCCAUGCCCAGAGAUUUAUUGGUGGGCAU